rnacentral:lncRNA from 1 species
UAUGGAGGUUCCCAGGCUAGGGGUCCAAUCGGAGCUGCAGCAGCCAGCCUACACCACAGCCACAGCCACACGGGAUCCAAGCCACAUCUGUGACCUACACCACAGCUCAUGGCAACGCCGGAUCCUCAACCCAUGGAGUGAGGCCUGGGAUUGAGCCCACAACCUCAUGGACACUAGUCGGGUUCUUAACCCACUGAGCCACAACAGGAACUCCUGAGGUUAAGAUUGAAGAGACCAGGGGAGACGUUCUGAUCCAUCCACGCGUCCGCCUGUUCAGCCGAACGGUUACACAUGCGUCUCUCAUCUAAUCCUCACUUCGCCCCGAGGGAGGCACUGUGAUUAUCCCCACUCAGCAGAGGAAGAAGCAGGCGGUUACGUAACCUGCCCAAAGUCCCACAGAUGCUACGGGACAGGGUUCAAAUCCAAGCUCAGGCAAUGGAGAGUUCUAGAGCCCACGGCUUAACGACCAUCCUCUAGAGAAAAAGCAGUGACGGAAGCCUCAGCCCCAACUCAUUAAUUCCUGCCCUGGAAAUCCAGCCGAGGGAAAUACACACUGGAGCCAAAGCUUCUGUACAGAGACAGUCACCCCACCGUAUUUCUUUCUUUCCUUCCUUCCUUCCUUUCUUUUUUUGCCUUUUAGGGCCACACCUGCAGCACACGGAAGUUCCCAGGCUGGGGGCUGAAUCGGAGUUACAGCUGCCGGCCUACACCACAGCUCACAGCAAUGCCCGAUCCUUAACCCACUGGGCAAGGCCAGGGAUCCAACCUGCAUCCUCAUGGAUCCUAGUCAGGUUUGUUAACUGCUGAGCCACGACGGGAACUCCCUCUUUUUUUAAUGUUUACAGUUGCAUGUGCGGCAUAUGGAGGUUCCCAGGCUAGGGGUCAAAUCGCAGCUGCAGCUUCUGGUCUACACCACAGCCACUGCCACAUGGAUCUGAGCCGCAUCUGUAACCUUGCUUUGCAGCCAUGCUGGUCCUUAACCGGGGGAUUGAACCUGCGUCCUCACAGACACCAUGUCAGGGUCUUAACCCACUGAGCCACAUGGGGACUCCUCCCCAGCUUUAUUUCUAAUGGAGGAAAUUGGCGGGGGUGGGGGUACAAAGCGUCUGUCACCUGGGACUUGGUUAAGUCCAUGAUUUUCCCUUCACAGGAUGGCUCACUAAGCAUCUUUGGGGGAAUGGAACCCCAGAGGAACGGGUUUCUGAGACGAGAUGCAAUGUUGCAGGGAAGCAUCCGGCUCAGGCACCUGCACAAAUGGUGUCAUUAAAGUUGCCCGGGCGAGACACAAUCUAGUCCGUCCUCGAGGCCACCCAGGA